rnacentral:rRNA from 1 species
UGGGGAAUAUUGGACAAUGGGCGAAAGCCUGAUCCAGCCAUGCCGCGUGUGUGAAGAAGGUCUUCGGAUUGUAAAGCACUUUAAGUUGGGAGGAAGGGUAUUAACCUAAUACGUUAGUGUUUUGACGUUACCGACAGAAUAAGCACCGGCUAACUCUGUGCCAGCAGCCGCGGUAAUACAGAGGGUGCAAGCGUUAAUCGGAAUUACUGGGCGUAAAGCGCGCGUAGGUGGUUUGUUAAGUUGGAUGUGAAAUCCCCGGGCUCAACCUGGGAACUGCAUUCAAAACUGACUGACUAGAGUAUGGUGGAGGGUGGUGGAAUUUCCUGUGUAGCGGUGAAAUGCGUAGAUAUAGGAAGGAACACCAGUGGCGAAGGCGACCACCUGGACUAAUACUGACACUGAGGUGCGAAAGCGUGGGGAGCAAACA